GGAGUAUGGACCGUGUCUCAGUUCCAUUGUGGCCGUUCAUCCUCUCAGACCGGCUACCGAUCGUCGGCUUGGUGGGCUUUUAUCUCACCAACUACCUAAUCGGACGCAGGCUCCUCGCAAAGCGAUAAAUCUUUAAUGCAGAAUUCAUGCGAACUCCGCACAACAUUCGGUAUUAGCGUCCCUUUCGGAACGUUGUCCCCAACUUCGCGGCAGAUUACCUGCGCUUUACUCACCCGUUCGCCACUAGCACCGAAGUGCCCGUUCGACUUGCAUGUGUUAAGCACGCCGCCAGCGUCGUCCUCGAGCCACGGAUCAACUACU
rnacentral:rRNA from 1 species